rnacentral:rRNA from 1 species
UACGAAGGGGGCAAGCGUUGUUCGGAAUUACUGGGCGUAAAGGGCGCGUAGGCGGCUUAUCAAGUCAGGCGUGAAAUUCCCGGGCUCAACCUGGGGGCUGCGCUUGAUACUGGAUGGCUUGGAUCCGGAAGAGGGAUGCGGAAUUCCAGGUGUAGCGGUGAAAUGCGUAGAUAUCUGGAGGAACACCGAUGGCGAAGGCAGCCUCCUGGGCCAACACUGACGCUCAUGCACGAAAGCGUGGGGAGCAAACAGG